rnacentral:rRNA from 1 species
GACGAACGCUGGCGGCGUGCCUAAUACAUGCAAGUCGAGCGAGCUUGCCUAGAUGAAUUUGGUGCUUGCACCAAAUGAAACUAGAUACAAGCGAGCGGCGGACGGGUGAGUAACACGUGGGUAACCUGCCCAAGAGACUGGGAUAACACCUGGAAACAGAUGCUAAUGCCGGAUAACAACACUAGACGCAUGUCUAGAGUUUAAAAGAUGGUUCUGCUAUCACUCUUGGAUGGACCUGCGGUGCAUUAGCUAGUUGGUAAGGUAACGGCUUACCAAGGCAAUGAUGCAUAGCCGAGUUGAGAGACUGAUCGGCCACAUUGGGACUGAGACACGGCCCAAACUCCUACGGGAGGCAGCAGUAGGGAAUCUUCCACAAUGGACGCAAGUCUGAUGGAGCAACGCCGCGUGAGUGAAGAAGGGUUUCGGCUCGUAAAGCUCUGUUGGUAGUGAAGAAAGAUAGAGGUAGUAACUGGCCUUUAUUUGACGGUAAUUACUUAGAAAGUCACGGCUAACUACGUGCCAGCAGCCGCGGUAAUACGUAGGUGGCAAGCGUUGUCCGGAUUUAUUGGGCGUAAAGCGAGUGCAGGCGGUUCAAUAAGUCUGAUGUGAAAGCCUUCGGCUCAACCGGAGAAUUGCAUCAGAAACUGUUGAACUUGAGUGCAGAAGAGGAGAGUGGAACUCCAUGUGUAGCGGUGGAAUGCGUAGAUAUAUGGAAGAACACCAGUGGCGAAGGCGGCUCUCUGGUCUGCAACUGACGCUGAGGCUCGAAAGCAUGGGUAGCGAACAGG